GUGGGGAAUCUUCCGCAAUGGACGAAAGUCUGACGGAGCAACGCCGCGUGAGUGAUGAAGGUCUUCGGAUUGUAAAGCUCUGUUAAUCGGGACGAAAGAGCCUAGUGUGAAUAAUGCUAGGAAGUGACGGUACCGGAAUAGAAAGCCACGGCUAACUACGUGCCAGCAGCCGCGGUAAUACGUAGGUGGCAAGCGUUGUCCGGAAUUAUUGGGCGUAAAGCGCGCGCAGGCGGAUCUGCCAGUCUGUCUUAAAAGUUCGGGGCUUAACACCGUGAUGGGAUGGAAACUACAGAUCUAGAGUAUCGGAGAGGAAAGUGGAAUUCCUAGUGUAGCGGUGAAAUGCGUAGAUAUUAGGAAGAACACCAGUGGCGAAGGCGACUUUCUGGACGAAAACUGACGCUGAGGCGCGAAAGCCAGGGGAGCGAACGGGAUUAGAUACCCUGGUAGUCC
rnacentral:rRNA from 1 species